rnacentral:lncRNA from 1 species
GCCACAGACAGCAGCUCCAUGAUAACAGAAUCAGCGCCUUUUGUAUACACCACGACUUGUUUGGAAAGAGGAUGCCUGACCACGACCGACAUUCUUUUCCUUACAGAGUCAAAGGGCAGAAUGUGUAGGAGUUAAAAUGUUAAUGAGCCCAAAGCAGCAAAGUCCACCAUGACCUGCUCUGGGGUCCGAGACUGUAAAGUGCAACGCAAGCUGAGUUACUGGCCUGGGGGAUUUCAUCCAUUUGGGAAGACUCGUCCUCCAUAGGAGGUGACAGUUUUGGUCGACUAAAGAAAGAGAUUCUGCUCACAAAGGCACAGGGAGUCCCAGAGGAUGAAUCCUUCCCACUGGCAAGGGACGGUGAACUUGAUCUCCGGACGGACAAUUUCUGGAAGAUGUUUUUAAUCUCUUCCAAGGACUUGAUGGGCAUUCCACCCAGUGAGGAGAGUCCAAUCUAGGAAUGACAGUGGAACAAGUUCUCAUUAACACGUACAAAAUGAGGUCAUUACAAUUCUGAAAGUGUAACUGCCGUCUUAACUGCCAAUCUGUAGUCUCUCUACAAAUUCCAUAGCAAACAGGAAGGCAAAU